ensembl:lncRNA
AAGACACUGGCAGAGAGACCAGUAAAGACACUGGCAGAGAGACCAGUAAAGACACUGGCAGAGAGACCAGUAAAGACACUGGCAGAGAGACCAGUAAAGACACUGGCAGAGAGACCAGUAAAGACACUGGCAGAGAGACAAUAACAAAAGCUAGUCAAGAGACCCGAAAGGACAGCAGGAGCAGAGGGAAAGAUAAGGAGGCGGAAAAGAUAAUCAAGGAGAUGGAGACUGGCAAAAAAGAGACCAGUACAGAGACUCGCAAAAAGUUAGGGAGUAAGACUAGAAACAUGACAGUCCAUGAGACCAGCAAAGACACUGGGAAAAUGACCAGUACAGAGACUGUUAAGGAGACUGAGAGAGAGACUAGCACAGACAUGGAGAGAGAGACCUGUAGAGCUGUUAGUAUAGUGGCCAGUAGAAUCAGCAAUAGAGAAACCAAAAAAAAGCCAGAGACUUGUAAAACACCUGAAAAGAAGACCAAUACUCAGACUGUGAAAGAAAAAACUAAAGUGACUCCUCCCCCCAUCUCCCCUCCAACCACUAAUCUGUGGGAUUUCCUGAAGAGGCAGAACCGAGGAGCUGUGAUUGGUCUGAGUGCACUCAUCGAGUGCCACAGUCACGGCCAGCCCCCCCUCUACCUCUGCCAGGUGUGUGGGUGUAAAGUCUUCCAGAACGCCAUCAUCGUCCAUGUAACCACAGACUGCCACCGGCUUUCCUACCUGAGGUCGCUGAAGACAGUGGUUGUCCCCAAAGGGAACCAGCUCCAUAAGAAGUUGAGGAGAGCUGCCUUGAAGCUGGAGAGGACCAUGGGAUAUGGAGAGGCUGAGGUAACGGAGUUGGAUGCACACACUUACAAUUUUGUUGCAGAAAGAUCCUUUGCCAUUGGCCUGAACAUUGUAAUGAAGGUCAUAAAUGGUGACCCUUCACCUGACCCCCUACUGUUGGUCAGCCCUAAACCCCCUGACCCCUCACCCCAGGUCAGCCCUGACCCCUCACUCCAGGUGUCAGAGGUCAGCAACCCCACCAUGACCUCUACAGCUCUGUGGUCCUACCUGAAUGCCUCCACCAGGACACAGCCUGUCAUCGGUGUCAGUAUGUUGACAGAGUUGCCAGACAGACAUGGUGACUACUUCCUCUGCCGCUGCUGUUCUCACAGGAUGUUUACAUCAUCCCUCAUUGGACACCUAAUCUCUGCUCGACACCGCUACCACUACAUAAAACUAGUGUACCCUGAGCUGGCUGCUGAUUGGCCAGUGAGCCCAGAGCUGACGGUGAAGGCGGGGCCUCUUCAUGAGGAGCUGAGAGUGAGAGCUGCAGAACUGGAGGCACAGGAGGGACUAGGACAGCUCACGGUGGUAAAGAGAGAACCUGCUGCUGGAGACACAACCACUACCAAUACUGAAGGGACUGCCCAGCAGAGCCAGAACGGCUCACCUCCUCUCUCUGUGAAAGAGGAACCGGUUGACUCCACAGUACCAUCCCAGCCCCCUAGAGGAGAAAAGAGGAACAAGAGGAGGAGCAACCCUGUGGUUGGUGUGAACUUCCUGGUCCAGGUGUCCCACAGGAGAAGGAAACAGUACUACUGUCAGCUAUGUUCUGUCAGGAUGAAACACGCUAUUGCUGAUCACAUGACCAGCCUCAGCCACCGACACAACUAUGUGAGGUUGAAGUACCCUGGUUGGACCUCCAGCCCGGUAGAGAUGGAGAAGAAGCUGUUCAAAAUGGCCGUUCACCUGGAGAAGGUCGACAGAGACGCAGGAAUGGGCAUGCAGAAGGUAGAAGUGGAAGCUGAUGAGUACAAAGAGCUGUUGUCCUUUCCUGUGGAGGAAGGUGUCAGUAAACUGCAAGCCAUCAUCAGACGGCAACAAGAGCCAUGCGAUCUGAGACACACAGCUCCCUCGACCAAUCACAACCCAGAGGAUCUGAGACAGACAGCUCCCUUGUCCAAUCCCGAUGCAGCCCAAUGUCCAGCUCAAGGUAUGUGUGGGGCAGAGUCACGUGAGACCGAGGGAGUGUGUCCUCUCCCUGUCAGUCUAUCAGAGGAGGAGAAUGACCAGACGCUCCUGGUUCAGAUCUCAAUGUUUUUGGGAGAAGACCAGGAACCCCUACAAGUACCUUCCCGUUCCUCCAGGAUCAGCCACCCCUUAUUUCCAUCCCUCUCCCACUCUCUACACCUCACCCUAUCCCCCUCUCUUCCUCAAUCCCCCUCCCUCUCUCCCUCAAACCCCUUUUCUACCUCUCUUUCCACAGUUGUCCUAUCUACCUCACCCUCCCUCUCUUCCUCCAUACCAUCCCACACCCCCUCGUUGUCCACAGAGAAGACAACACACCCCUCCCCUGUCUCUGUCCCUGUUCCUGCACCUCUCUCAGCUCUGAGGAGCUCAACACAUUUGAAGGACUGGGAGACUUCUCUGAGUCCAGAGUGGUGGGAGAGGAAGAGCCCAGAAUGCAGAGAGACACAGACGCUUCUAGAAAUACCAGACAGACACACUCUUCUGGAAUACUCGGGCAGAGACAGACAGAUUGAAUACUCAGCGACAGACCGACAGACUGCAUACACUGAGAGAAACCGACAGACUCAUCUAGAAUACUCUGAGAGAGACAGACGGGCAGACUACUCAGAGAGAGACAGACGGGCAGACUACUCAGAGAGAGACAGACGGGCGGACUACUCGGAGAGAGACAGACGGGCGGACUGCUCGGAGAGAGGCAGACGGGCGGACUACUCCGAGGGAGGCAGACGGGCGGACUACUCCGAGGGAGGCAGACGGGCGGACUACUCCGAGGAGGCAGGCGGGCGGACUACUCCGAGGGAGGCAGGCGGGCGGACUACUCCGAGGAGGCAGGCGGGCGGACUACUCCGAGGGAGGCAGGCGGCCGGACUACUCCGAGGGAGGCAGGCGACCGGACUUCUCCGAGGGAGGCAGACGGGCGGACUUCUCCGAGGGAGGCAGACGGGCGGACUUCUCCGAGGGAGGCAGACGGGCGGACUACUCCGAGGGAGGCAGACGGGCGGACUACUCCGAGGGAGGCAGACGGGCGGACUACUCCGAGGGAGGCAGACAGGCGGACUACUCCGAGGGAGGCAGACAGGCGGACUACUCCGAGGGAGGCAGACAGGCGGACUACUCCGAGGGAGGCAGACAGGCGGACUACUCCGAGGGAGGCAGACAGGCGGACUACUCCGAGGGAGGCAGACAGGCGGACUACUCCGAGGGAGGCAGACAGGCGGACUACUCCGAGGGAGGCAGACAGGCGGACUACUCCGAGGAGGCAGACAGGCGGACUACUCCGAGGGAGGCAGACAGGCGGACUACUCCGAGGGAGGCAGACAGGCGGACUACUCCGAGGGAGGCAGACAGGCGGACUACUCCGAGGGAGGCAGACAGGCGGACUACUCCGAGGGAGGCAGACAGGCGGACUACUCCGAGGGAGGCAGACAGGCGGACUACUCCGAGGGAGGCAGACAGGCGGACUACUCCGAGGGAGGCAGACAGGCGGACUACUCUGAGGGAGGCAGACAGGCGGACUACUCUGAGGGGGAACUGGACGAAGACCAAGAACACACACAUCAUCACAGUGAACACACACAUCAGCACAGUGAACACACACAUCAGCACAGUGAACACACACACUUCGAGCAGGCCCCAGCAAGCUGGCUCAGUGUUCCACAGGUGUAUCUGCUGCCGGACACACCCGCAGCAAAGAGGGUUGUCGGCCCCAGCCACCUGUCCAAAUACCUGAAAGUGAAGGGCCUUCACAACACAGAACCGAUCAUAGGUCUGGGCAGUGUGGUGGAGUGUAGAGGUAUAUCCCAGGCUACGUUUUUCAUGUGUGUGAGCUGUGCUGAGACUCUCUCCAGUACACACAUCUGUGAACACAUCAUCAGCGCGCAACACCAGCAGUGCUACAUGUUUUCCCAGUAUAGUCCUAUGCGCUGUGAUUGGUUGAGAGAGCAGCAGCAGCCUCCGAGUCCACAGCUCCUCAGGAAGGUUGCUUCAGCACUGUCACAACUGGAGGUGGAUCUAGAUGCACAGGUGAUGCUGCUGGAUCAGAUGUGGUAUAACCUUGUGAAGUCAGCUCCAUUCUACGAAGCCAUGUACAUGCUGCAGGAACAGAAUCAGAAUGCCCUGUGUCUACACACAGCAAGCAGACAUCAGCUUUUUCCCCCAGUUGGUCCUGACCCAGCAACGGAGCAGGGCUUUGACCAGAACCACAGAGUGAUGGAUAAACUGACCAUGGAUCAGAUUGAGCCCCAUCACCCCCUGCAGACAGCAGAUACAGUGGCUGGUAAACUGACUGGAGAUCAGCUGGAGUCAGGCCAGUGCAUACAGACCGCAGACAGACGGCCAGAUAAUCAGAACCCGGAUCAGCCCCAGUGGAGCCAGAGCUCAGAGAGAACAGAGAUGGUCCCUGAGCCAAUAAGAGCCAAGACACCACAUAAUUCUGAGCCAAUCAGAGACCAGACACCACAGAACAUUGAGCCAAUCAGAGCCAAGACGUCAAAGAAUUCUGACCCAAUAAAAUUCCAGACACCACAGAACACUGGGCCAAAAAGAGCCUGGAUGCCACAGAACUCCUCAGAACCACAUCUGGACCAAGACAACACAGUCAUUGUCAAACAGGAGCCUGUGGACCCCAAGGUGGAACCUCAGCCCCAUCCUCAUACCCAGCCUGAGGUGGACCCCUUAAAGGGUGUGUGUGAGGUGGAGUACCAGGGGACCGUCCUAGCACACAGCCAAGAGGUGACACGAAUAGGAGGGGCCACAGAGAACUCCCUUCAACCCACCAAGAACUUGAGAGACUCCGUCAACAACAGCUUGCCUUUGGUCGGUCUCAGUGCAAUGAUAGAGUGUUGCAGUGAGGGCCAGGUGUCCUUCUACCUGUGUGUGUCGUGUGGCAGCAAAAUUGAAAAAACUCUACUCAUCAGCCACGUCCUCAAAUACAGACACCGACAGCUGUACCUGACAAUGAGGUACCCGUGGUAUUUCCUUGGUGUGGUACCAGCCCGAGGGUUGGCAGAACAGUCCAGACUGAUGCAGAUUGCUAAGGAGGUGGAGGAGCAGAACCAUGAUGAGCCUGGCACGCUACAGGAGGUGAUUCUGGCCCCUGCUGACUUUGCCGAGAUCAAACGGAUGCUGUUUGAUAAAGCUGUAUCCCGUUUGCAGGAGAUCUGUAGAGAGCAGAACCAGACUGAACUCCUCACCAUGGUCACCAGCAAACCUGAACCAAUAGUGGUCAAGCAGGAGAUUGUGGAGUGCCAGGUGGUCUCCCAUCAGGCCUUGGGGCUAUUCCUACCGCCACAGAGAUGUAGGAGAAACACGGGAAAACGUUGUUCUAACGUUGAGGGGUCAGAGGUGAGGGGUCAGCAGCAGGUGAAGAAGAGAAAGGUGUCCAGCCCCCCUGAGGGUCACACUGCCCCUGUCAUCUGUCUAUCAUCUCCUGAAGUCAUCAAGUCUUCUGAAACACACACUGUCAACCAGACACACAUCAUCACACCCUCACCCACACAAUCCAACACUAAGCCGAAACUCACAUACACACACUCUGACUCUCAAACUAAACUUAAACCUUCACGCACACACCCCAAACCCAGUUCAACAGCCCCAGAAUAUACUAGACCCAAACUCAUUCCCCAUUCUGCCACCAAGCCCUCCGGUAUCCCUGCCGACAGCCUGACUGUUGCCAAAGAGUCCUCUAGCAAGAAAGCCACUCACACACUGUGCAAACCCACACACACACUGUCCAAUAGCCAGAAGCUCACUGACAAACAUUCGGACAAGAAUGAGUCUCAGAAACAUACUGAAAAGGCUAAACCUACUCGCACACACAGUGAACGCACACACAGAAACCGCACACACACUCGCAAACACAGUGACCUCACACGCACUGACAAAGCCAAAGACGGACACAGUGACAAGACCAAACGCAGACACAGUGACCGCAAACACACUAACAGACAUUCUGACCACUCACGCUGUCACACCAGCUCUAAGAGACAUAAUCGUAGCUCCAGCCGUUCCUCCAAAGCCUCCCCCAGAGCUAGUCCCUCUGAGCCCCCUGCUCUCCCCCUACUCCCCGCUGCAUUCUCCCCCACCAGAGCCACUUCUGCGGCGAGCCUAAGCCAGGUCAAACCCAGCCAACCUUCCUGCCUAGUCAACAAACAACUACCCAAACAGUCCAGCCAACCAACCAAGAGACCUCCCAACCCAACCUCAGCAGUCAGACCUCUCCAGACCCAGGCCAACCCUCCCAACAACACCUCUUACCCCCACCUGCACCCAGAAAGAACCGGACCCAUGACCCCCCACUCGGACCCAUGACCCCCCACCCGGACCCAUGACCCCCCAACCCCCGGCAAUCCCUCCCUGCCUCACUCCUCCACCUCCACCCCAGCCAGGUCCUGUCUACGCCUCUGGGGUUAAGAAGAAGACUUCCAUUGUAGACUGUGAUCAAUUUGUGGAAUACUUUGUCUCUUUGUUGCGCUCCCCCCACUUUCCUCCUGCCCUAACCACCCCAGAGAGUGCAGAGAGCGCUGAGGCUCAUACCAGGGCAACAGGCCCUAACCCUGGAGGGGAGAAGAUGAGGGGUGACUCAAAAGGUCAUGCCAUCGCCAUAGUGGCGGCAUUACCCAACCCGCUAAAAAGGAAGCUAUCCCUACAGGAACCCGAGGACAGAGACCCCUGGAACUACGAGAGCCGACAGUUCACUCCCAACUCCAAACCUAACCCCAACUUCAAACCUAACCCAAACUUCCAGAACCCUGACUCCAAACCUAACCACAACUUCCAGAACCCUGACUCCAAACCUAACCACAACUUCCAGAACCCUAACUCCAAACCUAACCACAACUUCCAGAACCCUAACUCCAAACCUAACCACAACUUCCAAAACCCUAACCCUAAACCUAACCCCAACUUCCAGAACCCUAACUCUAACCCCAACUUCCAGAACCCUAACUCCAACUCUAACCCCAACUUCCAGAGUUAUACCCCCACUACCAAUGCCACACUAGCCCAGGGGGGUUACACUGGAGGGGUUACCGUUUCUUCUAGCCCUAACCCCACUGACCCACAGCCCCCAGAGAUUCUACCUGGUUACACCUACCCUGGUUACACCUACGCUGGUUACACCUACCCUGGUUACACCUACCCUGGUUCAGGUUACGCUGGAGUUGUCAGUGUUAGUCAGUUCACUUCCAACUCCCCCAUUAACCCUAUCCCCAGCCCCAGUAACACACAGUCACAGCCACAGGCAAGGUGGUCUGGGGGCAACUGGGGAACAGGCUACCCAGGGGCAGGCUAUGUUACAACAGGUCUAGCUGGUACUUCCUACCCUGGAGCUGUCUCUUCUGGAAGUGGACCUGGCUACCCUGGAGUUCUGCUCUACCCAGAGAUGGGCUACUCAGACAUGGACUGCCGUGGACAGGCUUACCCUAGGUCUGGGACUGGACUCGGCUCUACUGGGACUGUUAUGCCCCCAGGAAGCCUCUACUCUACCACACCAUCUCCAGCCAACCCCAGCUAUUUGGCCUUGACCCAGCCAUCACUUGACCCAGCCAGCUACUCCGCCUGGACUGCUACUGACACCGGGGUUGCCAUUGAAACCAGCACAGCAGAGUAUCUGCCACGCCCUCAGUGAGGACCCCGCCAGCCUGGAUUUCCUUAACGUGAAGCACUGACUGCUGGACAAUCGCUGGACAUGGAGGAGACGUAUACACACACACAGAUUGAUAAAGUAAAAUUUUGUUACCGAAUGUCAGUUUUAAAAUGAACAUUCUUGGUUUUCCUCUAUUUUGUAUUACUUAAAGGUAACCCUCUUGCCAGAGCUUGAUCUGUCGCUGGUGGCUCAGCAGAAGUAGUUACAUCCCUGUGGGAGGGGCCUAAUCUUGUCAGAAUAAACUCCCAUCCAAUCACUUGAAAGCUGUUUAGUUUCAAUGACUACUGAUUGUGGCAUAAGAGGAGCAAACAAUAUUUUUUUAUGUUUACUACUAUUUUUUUUUACAUUUACUUUUUUAAAGAUACAAGACAGUAUAUUUUAAUUGCAAACCAAGCGAAUGUUAUACUCAAGCAAUGUUCACCAUUUAAAUAAGGCAUAAAAGAUUCAGUUGAUGUUGAUGUUUUCUUGAAUGUGGAUUAUUAUGUUUAAUGUGAAUAUUAUUUUUGUAUCUUAUACGUUGGUAGCCCUUUACUCUCGUACCCGUAUACAGAUUUGGGGCACUAAUAAGCUCCUACAUUGGAACGUAGUGGCUUUUCAGUAACGUGCUAUACAUGACGUCAGAGUUCUGUCUGUGUGCCUCACAGCGCUGUAUGGGUUUUGACUGACAGACGUUCUGAACUUGAGCACCGUGCGCAACAAGAAGUUGCCCCUAUCCCUCCCGGUAACUGGCCAACUUUUGAAAUGUUUUUGUUGUCUGAGUGAGCAAAAUGCUAUAAAUUGAGAUUACUUGUAUUUUGAAAUAUGAGAAUUUGAGUAUUAUAAUAAAUACCGCUUUGAUGUCAUACAAGCAUGCCAAACACCUGUGUGUCCAAAUGUGCACUUCACAUUUCCAAAUCAUAAAACUCAUGUUUACUACAGUAUCAACGUUUAGCACCACCAUGUUUGAUGUAGUUACAAGAUGACAUGGCAUCAUACCCUGGGUUGUUCUGAACAGAAAUAGCCUAUGUUUGUUUAUUGUGAUGGAAACUAGAGGCUCCACACGCACCGAAUGCACUUAUGACUCCUUUCUAUGCGCCCCAACAUGACCAUCUGUUUCUCUGAAUUGCCUUGUGAAAGCCUAACACUGCAAGAUCGUAUUUUAUGACUCAUUUUGGCAAUAGAACGAGCUUUCAAAUCAUGCCCACCCUACCCACGUUGCGGUUUAUAAUGGACUGUUUUUGGAUUAUGUAAACAACAGCAGUAAUUCUGUGAUGGCGGGAAUGCAGGGUUGUGUUCCAAAUGAAACAACUACAAGUGUUCUUGCUCUCGUUCCUCAACGGCACAGCUAGGAGAGUUCAAAAAAUACUUUCAAGUUGAAGACUUUUCUUUGAGUCAUAGAAGUGCAUUGAAAUUAUUUAGGAACUGUGCACACUUUGGGGAUGUGUGUGGCCACUUGGAGACACCAGUUUCCUUACUCAAACCCUUUUUAGUUUUAUGUUGCAUAUUUUCCAGGAAUAGUCUUGUCAUGUUACUGAAUGUAUCCAGAGUGUCAACAAAUGCACAUAUAAUCAAGUGUAAUGUUUGGAAUCAGUCUGGUGUUAGAUGAACUGUUGGACUCACAUUAUCUCCAAACUUUUCCCUUUCAGUUGCUACCAUGGUUAUGCAUAUGCUUUUCAUAUUUCUUCUGUAAGAAACAUUUACAUUUAGC